rnacentral:tRNA from 1 species
GCCUUCGUAGUGUAGUGGUCAGCGCGCUCGAAACGUAUACGAAAGAUCCGUGGUUCGAAUCUUGGCGAAGGCA